GCCCAGGCUACUGAUAACUUCAGUAUGGCCAAUAAGAUUGGCGAAGGUGGCUUUGGGUCUGUGUACUAUGCAGAACUGAGAAACGAGAAAGCUGCAAUCAAGAAAAUGGACAUGCAAGCUUCGAAAGAAUUUUUUGCUGAACUAAAGGUUUUAACACAUGUUCAUCACUUGAACCUGGUCCGAUUAAUUGGAUAUUGUGUUGAGGGUUCUCUUUUCCUUGUUUAUGAGUACAUUGAGAAUGGAAACUUAAGCCAACAUUUGCGUGGCUCUGGGAGGGAUCCAUUGCCAUGGUCUGCUAGGGUGCAAAUUGCCCUUGAUUCAGCUAGAGGCCUUGAAUAUAUACAUGAGCAUACUGUUCCUGUUUAUAUUCAUCGUGAUAUUAAGUCAGCAAAUAUAUUGAUUGACCAGAACUUCCGUGGAAAGGUUGCAGAUUUUGGGUUAACAAAACUAACAGAGGUUGGAAGUGGAUCGCUCCCGACACGUCUUGUGGGUACAUUUGGAUACAUGCCACCAGAAUAUGCACAAUAUGGCGAUGUUUCUCCAAAAGUGGAUGUUUAUGCCUUUGGAGUUGUCCUUU
rnacentral:misc_RNA from 1 species